UUUUAAAUUGCUGUGGUAUUUUGACUAUACAAAGGUAUUGAAAUAAGAUUUUAAUUGAAUGCUAAGAGAAUGGAAGUUCAGAAAAAAACUUUUUUUAAAUUAAAAAUUGAAGUUUUUUUAAUUUGUGCAGAAACAAUUAUUUAUAUUAAAGACAAGAAGACCCUAUGAAUUUAUUAAAUUUUUAUUUAAUAUGUAAUUACUAUUAAAAAAAUUUUGGCUGGGGCGGCUAGAAAAUAUUAUAAACUUUUUAAAAAUAAAAUGAUCCAUUAUUAAUGAUUUUAUGUUAAAUACUCUAGGGA
rnacentral:rRNA from 1 species